rnacentral:piRNA from 1 species
UAGUUGAUCCUCCGCACAUGGUGAACACU